rnacentral:rRNA from 1 species
GAGUGGCGGACGGGUGAGUAACACGUAGGUAACCUGCCCCGGAGCGGGGGAUAACAUUUGGAAACAGAUGCUAAUACCGCAUAACAACGAAAGCCACAUGGCUUUUGUUUGAAAGAUGGCUUUGGCUAUCACUCUGGGAUGGACCUGCGGUGCAUUAGCUAGUUGGUAAGGUAACGGCUUACCAAGGCGAUGAUGCAUAGCCGAGUUGAGAGACUGAUCGGCCACAAUGGAACUGAGACACGGUCCAUACUCCUACGGGAGGCAGCAGUAGGGAAUCUUCCACAAUGGGCGCAAGCCUGAUGGAGCAACACCGCGUGAGUGAAGAAGGGUUUCGGCUCGUAAAGCUCUGUUGUUGGAGAAGAACGUGCGUGAGAGUAACUGUUCACGCAGUGACGGUAUCCAACCAGAAAGUCACGGCUAACUACGUGCCAGCAGCCGCGGUAAUACGUAGGUGGCAAGCGUUAUCCGGAUUUAUUGGGCGUAAAGCGAGCGCAGGCGGUUGCUUAGGUCUGAUGUGAAAGCCUUCGGCUUAACCGAAGAAGUGCAUCGGAAACCGGGCGACUUGAGUGCAGAAGAGGACAGUGGAACUCCAUGUGUAGCGGUGGAAUGCGUAGAUAUAUGGAAGAACACCAGUGGCGAAGGCGGCUGUCUGGUCUGCAACUG